rnacentral:rRNA from 1 species
UGGGGAAUAUUGCACAAUGGGCGCAAGCCUGAUGCAGCCAUGCCGCGUGUGUGAAGAAGGCCUUCGGGUUGUAAAGCACUUUCAGCGAGGAGGAAGGCGUUAAGGUUAAUAACCUUGGCGAUUGACGUUACUCGCAGAAGAAGCACCGGCUAACUCCGUGCCAGCAGCCGCGGUAAUACGGAGGGUGCAAGCGUUAAUCGGAAUUACUGGGCGUAAAGCGCACGCAGGCGGUUUGUUAAGUCAGAUGUGAAAUCCCCGAGCUUAACUUGGGAACUGCAUUUGAAACUGGCAAGCUAGAGUCUUGUAGAGGGGGGUAGAAUUCCAGGUGUAGCGGUGAAAUGCGUAGAGAUCUGGAGGAAUACCGGUGGCGAAGGCGGCCCCCCUGGACAAAGACUGACGCUCAGG